GAGGACGAAGCGAAAGUCGCACAAACACUACCCUGAAUCAACCAACUCUUUUGAAUUUUUAUACAACCAGAACAAUCACGCCUUCACCCCUUUGCCUCAAGGACUAAUCUCUCCCUUUCCUUAAUGUUAAUCCUCUCAAGAAACUUUCCAACAAACAGGGACAACAUCGUAUUUUCAAUGAAAUUUCGUCUCCUCCGCUGCUAAGUAUACCUAUCUCCAUCCUUUUCACAAUCGCUUCCCGGACUCCUCCAAAAUUCCUUUUAGAUCCUUGAUCAAUGGCCACUCUCUCCGCCUACUCUCCUCCAUGGCCAAAUCCAAACCCUAACGCUACCGUUCUCUCUUUGCAGGAAGCUGCUGAAGGACUCGAAUCACAGUCACAAUCCCAAUCUUACGACUCUCUUUCUUCAAUUAUGCCUCAAGAUCAUCUUACAGAACAGCUUUCGCCUGUCAGUCCUAACCCCAAUUACCAUGCUCCUGCAUCUUCAUCUCCGGACUCCACCUCGCCUCCCGUGCCAGUUUCUCUACUUCACCUUUCAUUCAACCAGGAUUUUGGCUGUUUCUCCACGGGUACUGACCACGGGUUUCGCAUCUACAACUGCGACCCGUUUCGGGAGAUCUUCCGCCGGGAUUUCGAGCGCGGUGGCGGUGGGAUUGGAGUCGUUGAGAUGCUUUUCCGUUGUAAUAUUUUGGCCCUUGUUGGCGGUGGGUCCAACCCUCAGUAUCCUCCUAACAAGGUCAUGAUCUGGGACGACCAUCAGAGCCGAUGCAUCGGGGAGCUCUCAUUUAGGUCUGAGGUUCGAUCGGUGAAGCUUAGACGGGAUAGAAUUAUUGUGGUCCUGGAGCAGAAGAUUUUUGUGUAUAAUUUCGCGGAUUUGAAGCUGUUGCAUCAGAUUGAGACGAUUGCAAAUUCCAAAGGGCUCUGUGCAGUGUCGCAUGGGGCAGGUACAUUGGUGUUGGUUUGUCCAGGGUUGCAGAAGGGCCAGAUUAGGGUGGAGCAUUACGCGUCGAAACGGACCAAAUUUAUUAUGGCACAUGAUUCGAGGAUUACCUGUUUUGCUCUCACGCAGGAUGGUCAGUUGCUCGCCACUGCCAGCACGAAGGGUACUCUGGUUCGGAUUUUCAACACGGCAGAUGGUACUCUGCUUCAAGAGGUAAGGAGGGGUGCAGAUAGAGCAGAAAUUUAUAGUUUGGCAUUCUCUUCAACUGCUCAGUGGCUGGCAGUUUCAAGUGACAAGGGCACUGUUCAUGUUUUUAGCCUUAAGAUUAAUCCUGGAUCCCCAGGGACUGAUAAGUCACAUAAUACAACUGAUUCUAAUGCUGCAUCUACAUCUUCCACGUCAUCUUUAUCCUUCUUUAAAGGUAAGAUUGCUGUUUCUCCCUGUCAUCGAAAAAUGUUUGUAAGUAAUGAUGUUGAGUUCUGUUUUGAAUGUCCUGUAAUAUGCAUUCCUCAAGCUCCACAAUUACAAGAAUGCACACUAAAGGUUAGCAUCUGAAGGCUUAGAUAUGUACUGGUAUCUACACUAUAUUUGCGGAUAUGAAGCGAAAACAAUCAUCUGCAAAAUAUUAAAAAUCUAUGUGUAUAGUGAAACCGAGUAUUUCAAAUGCCAUCAGUAAUUAAUGGGUUUAUUUCAAUUGACAAAAUAGAUUGUUCUUAAGUUCUGCUUACAGGUAAUGUUUUCCCCAUCUGGGUGAGGUGGGGAUGAAUUGCCUUGUUGAUAUGUAUUCAACUCCUGUACUCCAUGUUGUAGCAAAUAGAUGAUAAGAAGGAAUAAUCUAUACUAUAUUUUAUGCUGCACAGUGUGCACUAGUAACAACUGGUGGUUGUCUUUGUUUUGCCUCUUGAUCUUAGAUGGCUUUCCACUUGCAGGUGUUCUGCCGAAGUAUUUCAGUUCAGAGUGGUCAGUGGCUCAGUUUCGUCUAGUUGAGGGUUGUCAGUAUGUUGUUGCUUUUGGUCACCAAAAGAACACAUUGGUAAUUCUUGGCUUGGAUGGAAGCUUCUAUCGAUGUCAGUUUGACCCAGUGAAUGGUGGAGAGAUGACCCAACUGGAAUAUCACAACUUCUUGAAGCCAGAAGCCGCCUUCUGAAAGGACGUUUAUGUUUUCAAUUUCUUGGAGACAUGCAUAUAACUUGUAUUUUUCAUCUCUUUUCUUUUCGGCGUUUCCCUCUAAUUCACUUAAUCUAGAAAUGGCUGCAUUAUGCUGCCUGUAAAUAUGUAACUAUGGAUGUGUAAAGCAUGUUAGAAAAAGAAAAGGAGAAAAAAUGAAAAGAAAAAUGAGAGAUGUAAAAUGUUAUUACAUUUCUAUUUUAACAUGAGAUUACGUUAUAAUUUUCAUUCACUAUAAAUUGAGCUAGAAUGUGUUGGAGGGAUAGUUGUGUACUUUAGCUGUAAGCGUUUCGAGAACUUCCGAGAACAAAUUGGCAUGUAUAAAUUUGAGCUUUUGCUGUGGAAAAUGUGGAGCAAGUUUAACAAAUAUUUCUGGGUCUGUAGUUUUUGGGGAAAAGGUAUUGAAAUUAUUUUCAAUUCCAAGAGUGUAGUAAUGGACUGGACUUGUUUCAUUCUCUGAGAUUGUUCAAAAUUCAAA
rnacentral:misc_RNA from 1 species